rnacentral:rRNA from 1 species
GACGAACGCUGGCGGCGUGCCUAAUACAUGCAAGUCGAACGGUGAGGCGAUGAGCUUGCUCGUUGCGGAUGAGUCGCAAACGGGUGUGUAACGCGUAUGAAACGUCCCUUGUAUUGGGGGAAAAUUAUGGGAAACGAGCGCUAAUACGGUAGAAGCAUGGACUGCACGUGGGGGGUAGUUAAAAGUGGCAAUUUGGCCACGAACACAUGGAUUUUCGGUGUAUUAGUGAGGAGGUGGGGUAUUGACUCAUCUAGGCGACGAUACAUAGCGGACCUGAGAGGGUGAUCGGCCACACUGGGACGGAGACACGGCCCAGACUCAUACGGGAGGCAGCAGUAGGGAAUCUGCGGCAAUGGGGGCAAACCUGAGCGAGCAACGCCGCGUGAGUGAAGAAGGUUUUCGGAUCGUAAAGCUCUGUUGUAAGUCAAGAAAGGGUGUGAGAGUGGAAAGUUCACACUGUGACGGUAGCUUACCAGAAAGGGACGGCUAACUACGUG